AGUGAACGCUGGCGGUAGGCCUAACACAUGCAAGUCGAACGGCAGCACAGUAAGAGCUUGCUCUUACGGGUGGCGAGUGGCGGACGGGUGAGGAAUACAUCGGAAUCUACUUUUUCGUGGGGGAUAACGUAGGGAAACUUACGCUAAUACCGCAUACGACCUACGGGUGAAAGCAGGGGAUCUUCGGACCUUUCGCGAUUGAAUGAGCCGAUGUCGGAUUAGCUAGUUGGCGGGGUAAAGGCCCACCAAGGCGACGAUCCGUAGCUGGUCUGAGAGGAUGAUCAGCCACACUGGAACUGAGACACGGUCCAGACUCCUACGGGAGGCAGCAGUGGGGAAUAUUGGACAAUGGGCGCAGGCCUGAUCCAGCCAUACCGCGUGGGUGAAGAAGGCCUUCGGGUUGUAAAGCCCUUUUGUUGGGAAAGAAAAGCAGCAGGUUAAUACCCCGCUGUUCUGACGGUACCCAAAGAAUAAGCACCGGCUAACUUCGUG
rnacentral:rRNA from 1 species